GAAAACGUGCCCGAAAGUUUAAGGACCAUCUUGAUAGAGUGGAUUAUAAGAGUUCAAACCCCUUCGUUUUU
rnacentral:tRNA from 1 species